CUCUCGGGUGACGAGCGGCGGACGGGUGAGUAAUGUCUGGGAAACUGCCUGAUGGAGGGGGAUAACUACUGGAAACGGUAGCUAAUACCGCAUAAUGUCGCAAGACCAAAGUGGGGGACCUUCGGGCCUCAUGCCAUCAGAUGUGCCCAGAUGGGAUUAGCUUGUAGGUGGGGUAACGGCUCACCUAGGCGACGAUCCCUAGCUGGUCUGAGAGGAUGACCAGCCACACUGGAACUGAGACACGGUCCAGACUCCUACGGGAGGCAGCAGUGGGGAAUAUUGCACAAUGGGCGCAAGCCUGAUGCAGCCAUGCCGCGUGUGUGAA
rnacentral:rRNA from 1 species